AUAUCAAUAAGCGGAGGAAAAGAAACUAACAAGGAUUCCCCUAGUAACGGCGAGUGAAGCGGGAAGAGCUCAAAUUUGAAAUCUGGUGGCCUCAGGCUAUCCGAGUUGUAAUCUAUAGAAACAUUUUCCGCGUUGGCCCAUGUACAAGUCUCUUGGAAUAGAGCGUCAUAGAGGGUGAGAAUCCCGUCCUUGACAUGGACUACCAGUGCUUUGUGAUAUGUUUUCAACGAGUCGAGUUGUUUGGGAAUGCAGCUCAAAAUGGGUGGUAAAUUCCAUCUAAAGCUAAAUAUUGGCGAGAGACCGAUAGCGAACAAGUACCGUGAGGGAAAGAUGAAAAGCACUUUGGAAAGAGAGUUAAACAGUAUGUGAAAUUGUUGAAAGGGAAACGAUUGAAGUCAGUCGUGUCUAUUGGACUCAGCCGGUUCUGCCGGUGUACUUCCUUUAGAUGGGGUCAACAUCAGUUUUGAUCGCUGGAAAAGGGCAGGAGGAAUGUAGCACUCUCGGGUGAACUUAUAGCCUUCUGUCGCAUACAGUGGUUGGGACUGAGGAACGCAGCUUGCCUUUAUGGCCGGGAUUUAUCCACGUACAAGCUUAGGAUGUUGACAUAAUGGCUUUAAACGAC
rnacentral:rRNA from 1 species